CUAGGGGCAGACAGCAGAUUAGUUCUGUGUCAGUCUCCCAAUCAAGGCAGAAGCAGAAGCUGAGGCAUAGAAAAAAGCUCGCAAGCCAAGUCCGUAAGGACACAGGCAAGCUCCCAGAGCCUGUUAGUUUCAGAGAGUGAAUGAAGUAAAGAGAAUCGGGAGAAAGGAAAAGAAAAGGAACUGGCAACAAGAAUUUAAUCUAGCACAGAGAAUGUAGGAAGACGAAAGGAGCAAGGAGUCUUACUGACCAUUGUUACAUCACCAAAAUGAAGAGAAAGGGAAUUCUACACCCUUCAUUAAUUGCAGGGUUACCUCCAGAGUUUUCUGUUUAUACAAUAGGAGACAUAUCAAAAGAAUGGCAAAUCUUGUAAUGAGGAAAUCUAUGAAUUAGAGCAUGAUUGUUUAAAAGACCAUGGGCUCUGGAACUAAACAGAAUGACGUGGAAACCUAGCAGUGCUUCUUAGAUUUGUGAACUUGAGAAAGUUACUUAUCUCUCUGUGUCAGUUUUCUUAAAUAAAGAUUAUAA